UUUGGAAUUUAUGUACGGUGGUGAAGGAUUCUAGGAGGAGAAUAGGGUGGGUUUGUGGGCUGUUCAUAAGGAGCAGGGAUCGUCGUUAGGACAAACGAUUGUUAAGUUUGGAAAUUUUUAAACGGAAAAGGAAAACAAAAUGCAGCAAGAUCACCCGAAGAAGAAUUCGACAGAGGUGGACUUUUUCUCUGAAUAUGGUGAUGCCAAUAGGUAUAAAAUUCAGGAAGUUAUUGGCAAAGGCAGUUACGGCGUUGUUUGCUCAGCAAUUGACACUCACACUGG
rnacentral:misc_RNA from 1 species